rnacentral:lncRNA from 1 species
UUGCGACAGCUACGAUCAAAAUGGUGGGACUUUCUCCUGCGGUAGAAUUCUUCCAUUUCUUAACGGUGUAGAUAUUAAUCAACCAUCUCUGAGCAAAGAUGUCACAACAGGAAUAUCAAACUACAAAUUUGCUGUGAGACAUCAAUUUGCAAGCUAAAGAUACCAAUGAAUGAAAAAAAAAGAAAAAAAAAGGGAAGGAUUCAAC